CCGCCUGGGAAGUACGUACGCAAGUAUGAAACUUAAAGGAAUUGGCGGGGGAGCACCAACAAGGGGUGAAGCCUGCGGUUCAAUUGGAGUCAACGCCAGAAAUCUUACCCGGGGAGACAGCAGAAUGAAGGUCAAGCUGAAGACUUUACCAGACAAGCUGAGAAGUGGUGCAUGGCCGUCGCCAGCUCGUGCCGUGAGAUGUCCUGUUAAGUCAGGUAACGAGCGAGAUCCCUGCCUCUAGUUGCCACCAUUACUCUCAGGAGUAGUGGGGCGAAUUAGCGGGACUGCCGCGGUUAAUGCGGAGGAAGGAAGGGGCCACGGCAGGUCAGUAUGCCCUGAAACUCUGGGGCCACACGCGGGCUGCAAUGGUAGCGACAGUGAGUUCCGAAUCCGAAAGGAGGAGGUAAUCCAGAAACGCUACCACAGUUAUGACUGAGGGCUGCAACUCGCCCUCACGAAUAUGGAAUCCCUAGUAACUGCGUGUCAUUACCGCGCGGUGAAUACGUCCCUGCUCCUUGCACACACCGCCCGUCGUUUCAUUGAAGUUUGCCUUUAGCGAGGUGACAUCUAAUUGGCGUUAUCGAACUUGA
rnacentral:rRNA from 1 species